rnacentral:rRNA from 1 species
GAGCUCCGGACCCUGAUUGCAGAACCGCCCACCGAGUUGUUGCUGGCCCCUUGAAGGGGGGCAUGUGCACGCUCUGUCUACAUAUCCACUCACACCUGUGCACUCUCUGUAGUUCUGUGGCCUGAGGGACCCUGUUCCUCUGCUGCGGUUCUACGUCUCUAUACACACCCUGUAGUGAAGUCUUAUGGAAUGUGUGCCGCGUUUAACGCAAUGAAAUACAACUUUCAGCAACGGAUCUCUUGGCUCUCGCAUCGAUGAAGAACGCAGCGAAAUGCGAUAAGUAAUGUGAAUUGCAGAAUUCAGUGAAUCAUCGAAUCUUUGAACGCACCUUGCGCCCCUUGGCUAUUCCGAAGGGCAUGCCUGUUUGAGUAUCAUGAACACCCUCAACCCUUGUGGUUUGCCACAAUUGGCUUGGACUUUGGAGGUCUUGCUGGCUCCGGUCGGCUCCUCUCAAAUGAAUCAGCUCACCAGUGUUUGGUGGUGUCGCAGGUGUGAUAACUAUCUACGCUUGCGGUCAUCCUCCAUGCAACCCUCAGCAAUGAGGGUUCACUGGGGCUCACAGAUGUCUCUCCUGAGCGAAGACAGCUCUUUGAACGUUCGAUCUCAAAUCAGGUAGGACUACCCGCUGAACUUAAGCAUAUCAAUAAGCGGAGGAAAAGAAACUAACAAGGAUUCCCCUAGUAACUGCGAGUGAAGCGGGAAGAGCUCAAAUUUAGAAUCUGGCGUGCCUCUGGCCGUCCGAGUUGUAUUCUGGAGAAGCGUUUUCCGCGUCGGACCGUGUACAAGUCCCUUGGAACAGGGCGUCAUAGAGGGUGAGAAUCCCGUCUUUGACACGGACCGCCGAUGCUCUGUGAUGCGCUCUCAAAGAGUCGAGUUGUUUGGGAAUGCAGCUCAAAAUGGGUGGUAAAUUCCAUCUAAAGCUAAAUAUAGGCGAGAGACCGAUAGCGACAAGUACCGUGAGGGAAAGAUGAAAAGCACUUUGGAAAGAGAGUCAAUCAGUACGUGAAAUUGCUGAUGGGAAACGCUUGAAGUCAGUCAUGUCUGCAGACUCAGCCUGCUCUGCUGGUGCACUUUUGCUGAUGGCUACAUCAAUUUGACGUGCAAAAAGGCUUGGGGAAUGGGGCACUUUGGGUGAGUUUAACCUCCGUGCCG